rnacentral:lncRNA from 1 species
UUAGGUGCAGGUGCUGGGUUAACAAAUUCUCCCCUCUCUUUCGAUUUCUUCUUUUCUCGUGUGGCUGGCAUUGGUGGCUCUGAUUGCUGGGUUACUCAGGUUGAUUUAAGAUUUUUUUCACUUCUAAGAGUCACCAUCGAUUUGGCAUGUUCGAAAAAACUUUCAGGACUAGUGGAGCUCUCAGUCAUGUACUGUCCAUUUGGGUUAUUGAUGGGCUGACUUAGUAAUUUACCUUCCUCCCUU